UGGGGAAUCUUGCGCAAUGGACGAAAGUCUGACGCAGCGAUCUCGCGUGAAGGAUGAAGCUUUGCGGAGUGUAAACUUCUUUUCUGGGAGAAAACAACUGAUGGUAUCUCAGGAAUAAGGGACGGCUAACUACGUGCCAGCAGCCGCGGUAAUACGUAGGUCCCAAGCGUUAUCCGGAUUUACUGGGCGUAAAGCGUCCGUAGCCGGCUUUGUAAGUCCGCUUUCAAAACCCGAAGCUCAACUUCGGAUC
rnacentral:rRNA from 1 species